UUUUAUUUCCCUUCUUUGGGCUUCCGUAAGUUCUCCUUCUCAGAGAGAACCAGUGUCUUGCAGAUCUGUAAGCACCAAUCCACUGUUGCACUGGAGCCCUGUUGGUAUGUUGGUGAGACAUGUGGGAGAGGAGUAAUCUCUAAUCUUAUGAUUAAGUCUCAAGUCUCUUAGUGGGCUUGAGUCUCUGGCACGUGACCAUCACAUAUGGUAGCUUUCCCAUCCGUCUUAGGUGAGAUGGGAAGGCUAGAAGGGGCUGGAGUGAGAGGAAUGCCCUUCCCCACAGCUUUAGGACAAAGCUCUGGUAAAGUCUUUCCCCUCGGGAGUAGAUCUCUGUUAUUUAGAAAGCCCUUGGCAUAUUUCACAAGCAUUACUCUUCCCCUCCACCUGCCAGACCAUGAGGGAAUGUUCCUCUGAUCUUCACCAUAAGAAACCAGUGGGUUUCCUAGAGGUAAUGCUCACUGAAGCAGCGCUUCCUCUAAGACUGGUUCCCACUGCUGAUCCCACCAGUUUAUGGCUCCAGCACUUCUGCUCCAGGUAAGUAGAUCUUGGCUGUGACUCCAGAUUUGUCUGUCUCUCCACGUUUUGGGGAGACAGUUUGCCCUGUAAACUCAGUUCUCUGAUGAGUCCAAGAAAAGUCAUUGAUUUUCAGUUUGUCCAGUUUUUUUCUGUAAGGACUGGAGUGACAACUUCCAAGCUCUUUUUCUGUUGGAACUGAAACAAAGUCCAAUGUACUCUUUAUAUGGCCUUCCAUUAUACAAAUAAUCUAAAAAAUGAACAUUAGUAGAAGGGAAAAUCCCCAAAGACACUAAUGGUUUUGUUUCUGAAAUAAUUUAGAAGUAGCAGUCAAAAAACUGAAGAAAUACAAGAAAAACCUUUUGAGCAAAUAAUGUGGUCAAUUGCUUUUUAAUAACAUUUUUUCCUCCAUUCAGAGAUAACCAGUUAACAUAUUGCUAUAUUUCUAUUUAUUUUUCUUCACAGUGAACAGAUAGAAACACAUGCCACCAAAAUUGGGGUCAUACUAGUGUCCUUUUAUUAGUCUACCUCGCUUUCAUUCACUGAGUGUUAUAUUUAACCAUUUUCUCAUGUCAUUUAAGUAUUCUUUAAAACUAUGUAUUUAGCAUCUGCAUAAAAAAUUCAUUAUAAGGAUGUAUUGUAAUUUAACAGUUAUGUGUUUGAACAUAUUACUGUGAUGAACAUCCUGUGCAUAAAUUCUUGUGUACCUCUCAAAAUUUUCUUAAAAUUGCUAGAAACAGAAUUACUAGAUGAAGAGUUACUGAUAUUGAGAAGUUAUUAAUAUCAUGCUUUUGAUAUAGAUCAAUUGCUUUUUGGGUGGUAAAGAGGUUUUUUUUUUUUUUUGAGGAAGAUUAGCCCUGAGUAAGAUCAGAGCAUGGCUUGAUAAGCAAUACAUAGGUCCAUGCCUGGGAUCCUAACCAGCGAACCCCGGGCCACCAAAGCAGAGCACAAGAACUUAACCGUGGCGCCACUGGACUGGCCCAAAGGUUUUUCAGUAGAGGUGCCUUGGGUGCAGUUUUGAGAGCCAAGCAUCCCACAGGACUCUCUUCUCACCUUCAUUUAGCACCAUGCUGUCUCUGACCCCACCUUUUGUAGUUUUAGCGUAGAAUAUUUUGUGACAUUUGAGUAUCAUGAGAAAUUGAGUACAGAGAAAAGAACGUGAGCUUUAUAAUCAGACAAACUAGGUGAGUCUCUGAUUAUCUACAACUUAAGUAAUUUACCUUUCCUGAGCUUCUUCAUUUUUCUCACUUGUAAAAUGGGGAUAAUAGCUUCCUUUCCAGGUGAUUGUGAAAAUUAAACAUCAUUCAUUCAACUUUCAUUGAACAAAUGAUUGAGUGCCUACAUGUGACUAUGCUGGGUGCUAAGGAUACAAUGAUAAACAAAAGCACGCUAGACUGUUUUUGUUUUGAGCUUUCAGUCUGCUGGGAAAGACAUCCAUCACAUAAGCCUGAGAUGUCAUCACCACCCUCCCUGAACCAGACCAAGCCUCACCACAAGAGCUACACCUAUGACCUUUGCCUUAUUUUUAAUGCUAAGAUCUCUCCAGGAGGAGCUUAGGCCUUAUCACUGUAACCCGCAGUGUGUGUGGAAGAAUGUCUUCUAACUGAGCCUGCGCAAGCGAAUACCCAUCUCUCCCUUUUGAAUAUUCAUUCCCCAUCCGAAAUAAAUGUCCCUGCUUCCCUUUCUUCGGGGACGCCGGAACUCUGGAAAUGAUUCCUCGUGGUCUCCUAUUUGCCACAAAUAUACUUUACUGUGAGACAACUCCUUCUGGUGGAGAGUCUGAUUUAACUCACCAGGAAGGAACCCACUUCGGUUUCGGUAACAAUACGAAGCCAGCUCUGGGCUCUGUACCAACUUCCUUGUUCCCUAUUCACUCUCUGUUUUUCUCUUCCUUGUUCCUUCUUCUUUAUCCCAUAAAAGCUUCCUGGCUUCCAGCCAUUUUGCAGUUCUCUGGACCCUUAGGAAUAGAGACUACUCACUUCAUGAGCUUUAAUGCUUUGUGUUAAAUAAAGUUUGUUUGUAUCGCCUAAAUUGUCGUCUUUAAUCAUUUUUAACAGUGGUAAUGGUGAAAAUGGAAAGAGACGAGUAAUUUGAGAACUAUUUAAGAGGUAAUAUCUAAUUAUUGAGAGGAAUCAGUGAAUUCAGAGUGAGACGCAGCUCUCUGGUGUGUGACUUCCUCCAGCAGCAUUGUGCCACUAAAACUCAGCAGAUGCAGGAAUGCAGGGCCUGAUGAUGGACCAGGGAUUCUACGAUGCAUAAAAAGCAAGUGAGGAUAGGGGAAGGCAUAUAUAUGAUGGGGUGAAUAGGAGGUUCAGUGGACUGCAGGUGCUGACGAGGUUAGAACGUGGCUGCAGGAGUGGUGGAUAAGCAACUUGGAAGGACUGGCAGGAGGAGACGGUGGGAGACGGACAUACUGAGGUCACUGAUUCAGAAGAAGGAGCGGUUUCAGUG
rnacentral:lncRNA from 1 species